UCGCUCGAAGCAACAAUAUUGGUCAAAACCUCUCCGUUAGCUGCUGCUCUCUAUUUUCGUUUGGAUUGCUUUAGCUUUUUCUCUGCGAAUUUCGGACUUUGGCUGCGGUGUCCACUGGUUUGAAAGAUCUUCUUUUGGUAUUUUGGUUGGUUUUGAUAUCGGGUUUCUCUGAAGAACACAGUCUUUGCUAAUCAGGGGUUAUAGUGACUGCUGCUCCGACAAUUUCAAGCUGAUGGUACUGCUCCUCUUCCUCAGACUCUCAAGCUACUCAAGAUCUUACUUGAUAAGGGGCAAGUCAUAUAUGCCUGGCCUUAUGUUUCAAUUAUUUUAUAUUUUGCUGAACUGAAUCUGUACAGAUCAAAAAUAUAUUCAUUUAACACCAGGAAUUCUUCGGCAUUCUUGCUCAACUGCUGAAAUUCUUUUAUGUUUUCAGUUACAACACUUGGUUCUUGAUAAGAAAAAAUCGGCAGCUUAUUUGUUUUUUAAACCAUCUUUAACUGUAAGCUCUUUCAUUUUUUUAUUACCCUAGGAAUGAUCAGAGAGUCAAGGAAAAGGUUGUAAAGGAGACCAGAAAAAAUGCCAUACUGCUCACUGAAGACUCAUGUCUUAGAGAUAUGACAUACAUCAACUUUUGGUUCUUUAUUUCUCACUGAAGCAGAGGAGAAGAAAUUCCCAUAUUGGCCUGCUCAUAUUUUAUAAGAACGAUCAUGACGAGACGGUGACCAAUGUUUCAUAUGGUCCGGAAAUUGGAAUUGAAUUCUACGCUAACCUCACUCCUCAUAACUCUUGCACCAACUUCAUAAAUAUAAACACAAGAAGAGAUAAAUCUUCAUUUAGACACUGUAAACUCUUGAUCAGUGCUCAUUUUUGUUAACUGCAAAACUUUUGGGUGGUUGCGUCUAUACAUGAACUGAUUAUAUGUAUUUUGUUCCCAUUUACCUAUGACAGCUGAUGCUUUCUUGGA